rnacentral:misc_RNA from 1 species
AACAGGUGGCCAAGCUUGAGGCUGCAAGCCAUAACCUGUUGCCCACUGGUUUUGUGUACUUGGAUAUGCACCCAUAAGUGAUUGUGCAGGUGAAGGAGCAUCAGCAUAAGAUUUUACUAAUUUUGUCUUAUCUGAAACUAGAUAAUCCUCAGCAUGACGCUUUUUUAACUCCGACUUGCUCCUAUGGGGUAAAAAGAGCUUGGCAUGCCGAUCAUCAG